rnacentral:rRNA from 1 species
AUUGAACGCUGGCGGCAGGCUUAACACAUGCAAGUCGAGCGAGCGGCGGACGUGUGAGUAAGGUCUGGGAAACUGCCUGAUGGAUGGGGAUAACUACGGGAAACGCUAGCUAAUACCGCAUACCAUCAGAUGUGCCCAGAUGGGAUUAGCUAGUAGGUGGGGUAACGGCUCACCUAGGCGACGAGCCCUAACUGGUCUGAGAGGAUGACCAGCCACACUGGAACUGAGACACGGUCCAGACUCCUACGGGAGGCAGCAGUGGGGAAUCUUGUACAAUGGGCGAAAGCCUGAUACAGCCAUGCCGCGUGAGUGAAGAAGGCUUUCGGUUUGUAAAGCACUUUCAGCGAGGAGGCGUUACUCGCACAAGAAGCAACGGCUAACUCCGUGCCAGCGGCCGCGGUAAUUC